ACACCGCCUGGUUCCAGCAGGCCGCGCCGGAACCUUCUGUGGUGUGUCACUCCAAGAAAUCCAGGAAUUCUAAAUUCAUCCCUGCUAUCUGGGUAAUAAUGAAGGUAGAGUUUUCCAAAGCUUUCUUCCUGCAAAAAAAGCCCAAGGACCAAAAAAAGUCAUUAGAAGAAAUGACUCCAAAAGCAAAGAAAUUCUACAAGCAUCAAAAGAUGGCAGAAUUCCCCAACUUAGGUUUAUGAGUUUGGGUGGAAACCAAAAACCCCAAAAAAGGCAAUGGGAAAAACAGAAAUUACAGGCCUCGCUUACUGUUGAGUAUACACAGCUGCGGGGA